rnacentral:rRNA from 1 species
AACGAGCGCUGGCGGCAUGCCUAACACAUGCAAGUCGAACGAGACCUUCGGGUCUAGUGGCGCACGGGUGCGUAACGCGUGGGAACCUGCCCUUAGGUUCGGCCUAACUCCCCGACAGGGGUGCUAAUACCGGACAAUGUCUUCGGCCCAAAGAUUUAUCGCCUUUGGAUGGGCCCGCGUUGGAUUAGCUAGUUGGUAGGGUAAAAGCUUACUAAGGCGACGAUCAAUAGCUGGUCUGAGAGGCUGAUCAGCCACACUGGGACUGAGACACGGCCCAGACUCCUACGGGAGGCAGCAGUGGGGAAUAUUGGACAGUGGGCGAAAGCCUGAUCCAGCAAUGCCGCGUGAGUGAUGAAGGCCUUAGGGUUGUAAAGCUCUUUUACCCGGGAUGAUAAUGACAGUACCGGGAGAAUAAGCUCCGGCUAACUCCGUG